GGAAUUGGCUAGUUGGUUCCUCUUCUUGUUUUUGUUUUUGCAAAUAUGUUGUGUAUCUUGUCUCUUAGAGUUGUAUCCAAAAAAAUAAAAACAGACAAGAUGAAAAAAAAAGAGAAAAAAAAAAUACAGAAAAAUGAAAAAAAAAAUUGUGAAUAAUGAAGUCAAGAAGAGGAUUGAAUUAGAGGUUUUGGGUGUGAUUUGACUGUGUUUACACUUGUUCCCCAUUGCUCCUCUAUUUCUUUUGGUUUAUAGCUUCCGAUCCAUAUUAUAUCUUCCCUUUUCCUUGGCCCCAUUUCACCCAUGAAAGACCUUUUGAUUUGAACAUGCGUAUGUGCUUC
rnacentral:lncRNA from 1 species